rnacentral:lncRNA from 1 species
AAACUGUCUGGUUGCAGGCUUGUGUUGUGCUGUGUGCCUUCUUUCACAUUCUCAAGUGUGUCUUCUCUGCCAGGGGCCCUUGGGCAUGCCACUGCCCCUUCACCUAACUGGCAGUCUGUUUUGUUUUAAUCUCAGUAAUACAUUCACAAGAAAGUGAGCCCCAAUCUUGAACACUUGAUCAGGACCCACCCCCACUCACCUUUGUGCUCUAUUCUCCUACUUCACACAACACAAUAUAAAAUUAUAUGCUUAGAUGUAAUUUAUUUUCUUCCUCCAUCAACUUAUAAUGUAUUGACAUGGAUGCCAUUUUCCCCAGUAACUUCUUUCCCUUCUGAGUUUCCAGGUUUGAGCUCUGCCUAAAACUUUCCUUGCAUUAGUUCUGAUAUUGGACUGUGUAACACUAAGAAUUUCUUGUAAAAAUUUCUCAGUUCCUUUUUUAAGGCUAGUCCAGGUACCUCUUGUUCACGCAGGUUUCCAUUAACAUUUUACAUUUCCUUUGUUUCACAUUUUAAAAACCUGCAUUCAACAUUCAAGUCUCUCAAGACCUUAUCUUCCCAUGACGCAUACAACAUCUCAACGUAUGAGAAGAUGCCUCUAGCCUGUAUCCAAUAGCAACAGGGGACCAUAGUGGACUCAAACAAGCACAGGAAUGUUCUCAAAGCGCAAGGUGGGACGGCUUCCACCACGGCCUCUGAACAACUCCUCAUAAGCCUCUAGGCCUGCAUUUAUUGAGUUUAUAUUGAUCAAAUUUAAGGACUUUUUAUCAUCCAGUAAGACAAACACACACAGAAGCACUUCCCUGGAUCAAUGAAGUGUCAGAAAUAGUUGACGGACUGUUCCGGACCAACAUCUUCAGGACUGUGAACGGAGCCAGCGUAUAAUCCCGGGUCCGAUUCUGAGUGGAGGUGUGUGGACUAGGGACGCUAAUGAUGAGACAGGAAACACCAUAUCAUCUCAGGAGGGCUCCGAGCUGAUUCGAGCAGCCACAGUUUAUUGAGAAGUCCAUUUAAAUAGUCUUCCAAGGGCAGGGACAACAUCAGGAAGCAUUUAUCAUAAUGCAUAUCACUAACAUCAAGUGAUUCUGUUACCUAAACAACUCUUGGUCAUGCAGGCAGAGUCUUCAGCCCAGGUAUGGGUCUACUCAAGGCUUAAGCUGCAGAGAUGCAAAUUAGGAGGCAUGUCACCUUAGGCCAUGGUGAACAGUAACAGCCUAGUGUUAAUUAACAAUACAAUGGUGGCCUGGAGCUCCCUGGCACCACCACCUCUGCUUAUAGCAGCCAGAGCCUGGGACCCAAAAUAUUCCAUAACAGGGAUAUUCGGUCCCCCACAAUGGACAUAUAUCAAAACUCCUGAAUUCACCUAGUCAGUUAGCAAUUAAUCUGAAUUUAACACAAUUCAAUUUUGAGCAUGAAUUUUGAAUGAAGGUUCAUGAGCAUGUAUAUUGAUAUAAACAUGUUUCUUUUUGCUUUUAUAAUAAUGUGUAU